rnacentral:rRNA from 1 species
CUCCAGACUCCUACGGGAGGCAGCAGUGAGGAAUAUUGGUCAAUGGGCUUACGCCUGAACCAGCCAAGUCGCGUGAGGGAAGACUGCCCUAUGGGUUGUAAACCUCUUUUGCCGGGGAGCAACGGGGUCCUUGCGGGGGCCCGAUGAGAGUACCCGGAGAAAAAGCAUCGGCUAACUCCGUGCCAGCAGCUGCGGUAAUACGGAGGAUGCGAGCGUUAUCCGGAUUUAUUGGGUUUAAAGGGUGCGUAGGCGGGCUUUUAAGUCAGCGGUAAAAAUUCGGGGCUCAACCCCGUCCGGCCGUUGAAACUGGCGGGCUGGAGUUGGAGAGAAGUACGCGGAAUGCGCGGUGUAGCGGUGAAAUGCUUAGAUAUCGCGCAGAACCCCGAUUGCGAAGGCAGCGUACCGGCUCCACACUGACGCUGAGGCACGAAAGCGUGGGUAUCGAACAGGAUUAGAUACCCCCGUAA